rnacentral:misc_RNA from 1 species
UCUCUCUCGUCUUCUGCGACUCUCUUCCCCACCACCACCGCCGCGGCCGCCGCUUGCACGACAACCGUCCGCUACCGAUCACCGUCGUUGUUGUUCCUUUCUUCCUUCCUUGCCCCCCCCCCCUCCCUUCCCUCUGAUCAACUCUCUUUCCGUCUUUGCCUUCUCUCUUCUUCAGCCCCCACUCUCCUCCCACUCCUCGCCCGCCGCCACUUUGGUACGCCGCAAUGCCGAACGCCGUUGUCACGCUGACCAUUGUAAAGGCGGAGGCCCUCGUCGCGCUCAACCCUGGUGGCACGUCGAACCCGUUCUUCACUGCAACGAUCGGUGCUCAGAGUGUGACGACGCCGGUGGUGUGCAAGACAGUGAACCCGGUAUUCAAUACGACUUUUACUUUCUACGGCUGCCCGCUUCCGGCCAUGUUGACGCUGCGCGCCUUCAACAAGAUCCAGUUUGUGGACAUCGAGGACCCGCUCGGCACCGCCACGGUCACCCUCUUCGACCUGCAGCCGGAGACGACGACGAAGGUGGUUCAGCUCAGCCACGGCGGCGUCGCGGCGCUGGCGCAGCGCGCACUGAACGGUUGCGGUGCGGUUACCAUCACCUACAGCGUCGCGCCGAUGCCCGCUGAGGAGGCGGACCCCGCCGUGGAGAACGCGGCGUCCAAGCCGAGCAGCCUGCCUUCUUCCACCGCCGCGCCCAUAUCCGUGCCCGCUGCCCACAACAUUGAUGGCACCGGCCCGGCGUCUAUCCCCGUCGCCUCAGUCCCACGUGAGGGCGCCGCCGGCACGCUGGGCUCCGUCACGCACGGCAGCAGCAGCAACCUGCUCGCCUCCGACCCCAGUGCCACGAACCCAGCCGCGACCACCGCAAGACUGAAGCCGAACGAGGGUGCGACGGCCGCUGCCAGGGAGGGCGCAGCCCCGUCUUUCUCAGUGCUUGGUGCGACACCGCAGCAGAGAAGCCAGCUUACGCCGCCCAGCCUGUCGCCUGCUCGGCCGCCGGCGAUCGCCACCUACCUCGUGCCGCAGGUAGCCCCACCCCCGUCAUCUCCCGCCACUAUGCACAUGUCUGUGAAAACGGUGCCAACGAACGGGUAUGAGAGCUACGCUGUGCAGGGCGCGAAGCUGCCGCCGCCGCCGCCGAUGCCCGAGGAGGCCGCCGCCGCCGAUCAGGUGCCGUCAUCCACGCCAGCGGAGUCUUACUACGCGAACAACACCGCCCACAACGCCUCUGCGGCGCCGCCAUCGAGCGCCGCUGACGCGCCGUCCUUGGGCAGCCUCGCUACGCUUCCGGUAGCGCCCAACAUCCCAGCCUCGACUCGCUUCGCCUCCCUGCAGGAGUCCACGAGUGCCGCGCUUUCCUUUGACACCCAGCAGCAGACGGCAUCCGCCAGUUCCCUGUACACCAGCGCAGCGCAGGCCCCGGCCACGGCGUCGCAAGCGAGGCUGCUCGUGAUACCGCCGCACAUCAACGGUACCGUGACUCCGACGUUCUUCCACGCCUCACAAGCCUCGUCUCUCGCGGGCUCGCGUCAUCCCUCCGCCGGCCAGCUCCCGGCCUCUACGAGAAACCCAAGCGAGUGCUUUCCUGCUCACGCCCAACCGCCGCCACUGGCUGGCGCGCUCCCGGUGGCGACGGCACCUCGGUCGCCGCCGCUCACCUCGAGCACGACCAGCAGCCUUCGCUCCACCCCCGCCGCGCAGUCUGCGCAAAGACGCCACAAUACCGUUUCCUUCGCGGCCAGUCCGUUUCCUGCCGAGAACUUCGUCGCUGCCCCUUCGUCCGCGUCGACCUGUGCUGCCGCUACUCGCCGUGGUGUCGCACCAGCGUCUGCGACCGCCGGCCUGCAGCACAGCGCUGGCGCUGGCGCCGCCUUUCCCAGCGGUGCCGACCGCUGCGCCACCUACGCGUCGGCGUCUGUGGCCAGCGGCACCACCUCGCCAAGGCGCCGCAGCCCCCGCAGCGAGACCGAGCCCGGCGCCGAGGCCUCCGCCAUCACAUCUGCCUCGCAGAUCUACGCUGACAAGGAGUACCUGUUUGAGGUCGCCGCCACUGGUGCUGACGUCGAGGUGUUCCGGAGGCUUCGCCAAGUCGAUCCCACCCUCACGAACGGCUUCCUCGAGUGCUUGGACUACUCGGGCCGUAGCCUUCUGCACAUCGCCGCGUGGAACGGACAGCUGCGCGUGCUGCAGAUCCUGCUAUGCCCCCAGCCCGCCGAGCCGAUGAUUGACCUGCGCUCGGUUGUGGCGGCGAAGAGUGGCAACACGAUCCUGCACGCGGCAGCGUGUGGCGGCCAGGCCGAGGUGGCGCAGUGGUUGCGCUACUCGCAUCCCACGGCUGGUCCACUGCUGCUGUCGAUGCACAACGCCCGCAGCAUGACGGCGGCAGAGUGUGCCAUGGAGGCAGGCUUUCCGCAUGUGGCACGCCUGCUGAUGCCUAACUGAGCACUGCUCUUGAACCGUUUCUGUCUACCCUCAGCCGCGGGUGGCCAGUGCACACUCUGCACGGUUUGAGAAGACGAAAGCGGCGGGGAGUCUUGAGCGGCAGCAGCAGCAGCACUGCGGCAGCCACGGCGCGCCUGCCCACGGCUUGCACACGCAUGCGCGCAUACCUUUGUGCGUAUGAGCGCGUAUGCGUGUGUGCACGUCCGUGUGCCUGUCUCGCUCUCGCUCUCGCUGUCUGUGCGCCGACGGACGUGUGCACAUCUUUCUCCUCUUACAUUUUACGCGGCUGAAUGGCACACGCGCAUACUGUAAAAAGAAUGGGGAGUGUGAGCGGAGACUGUUGCGCGCCCGUGCUCGGAGGAGGAUGGGGCCGGUAGUGGUGUGGUGUUGUAUGGUGGGGACAGUGGACACGUGUGAACAAGGAAGUGGCGUCUCUCUCUCCUUCGACAAGCCACUCCAUCGCGCCCCUUUUCCCUUUCGCACAGAUGCUUAUCGCACCUGCCUCUCUGUGUCGAGUGGCAUCUCUGCGACGUGUACCUCGUGAGGUGCAUCGUCGUCAUCAUGCCUGCAUGAUGACGGGCGCCUGUGUCUGCGCGUGAGUUUCGGUUACGCAGCACGACGCCAAUAAAGGAAGCAUGCGAGACAGCAGAGAGAGAAGGUGGACCGUACAGCGGAGGCCGAUGGCGGUGGACUGCUGUGUUGCUGAGGCUGUGCAGAGGGGGAGCGCGUGCACGCUCACAGUGCAGGAGAUACCCGACGAGAACACACAAAGUCCUAAACAAAGGAAAGCGACGGUGCAGUGCCGAUGGAGAACCGAGGAAGGAAGCGGAGAGUGACGCGGGGAGUGCGAGAGGGAGAGAGCGGUAGGUGGCUGUAAAGCGAAGAGACGCGCGCGUACGUGUGACGUCUGCUUGUGCGCAUGUAAGUGCCUGUGAAGGGGCAAUGCGUAGCCGAGGCAGACACUGGCGCAGGUUUAGGCGGAGGGCGCCGGCGGCUUCGUGCCUCUUAUUCGCGUGCCUCGUUCUCGAUGUCUUUCCGUGCCCGCGACUUCGUUGUAGCUGUCAUGAUAGGGAGGUGGUUGUGGUAGGGGUAAGGCGGCCGCGGAAGGAGCAUCGAGAGCGGGAGAGCAAGCGAUCGGUGUCUGGCUGUGCACGUGAGGGCGCUGAUGUGCACUGUGUGCGCCAGCAUAGGCGCGGGCGCCUCCUCGGAGACGUCUCUUCGGAUUGCUGCUCUCUCUCUCUCUGCUACACGGCCUACGUUCCUUUUCCAUCUCGCGCACACAUGUGGCAUCUACGCAUGUGCGUCAUCAACGCCGCUCUCUUCGUCUUUGGAGCGCUUCGCCUUCGCUCCCCUUGCUGGAGGCUUGCGUGUGUGUGUGUGUGCAGCUAUCCGUGCGUGAGUGUACUCGUCUGCGACAGGCGGUGUACGCUGUGCGUUUUACGGGUCGAUUCUCUGCGUCCUGCGCGUCUGUGGCGGUGUGUCUGUGCGCGUAUACGUGCAACAUAUACGUAUGUAUGUGUGUGCACGUCUACAUAACGGCUCUCGUCGUUUUUCCUGCUCCGCUGUCGAGGGCGUGUUGUUGUCAUUCCACGCACCUCUCUUCUUCGUCGUCCCUGUUCUGUCCUGUAACCUCCCUCGCCUUUGCAGGGAGACCUCAUCGAUGUUGUUGUCUGUUAUGUAUGCGUGUGCGUGUGUAUACUCUCCCCCGUCCUCCCUCCACACACGCGAAACAGCCGGAGAGGAGGCAUACCUCUUUCACGGCACCUCCCCUCCUCUUCCGCUGUCGGCCUUGUCGUUGUUGCAUCUAAUGUGCGCGGGCGUUGCGCGUUCGCCUUGGGUGUUAUCGGUCGGUCUCUCUCUCUCUUUCGCUUACUACCUUCUCUAUCUUUCAGCAUGCGUUCACGCUAGCGGGAGGCGCACCGCGUCGACGGCGCCGUCCUUUACCUUCUAUUUUGUGCACAGUGUGCGUGUGUGUGUAUGCACGUCUCGUUCCUUCAGCUGUGUGUGUGUGUGUGUCUUUCUGUAUAGCUUCGACCCCUUCCCCUCCCCUCCCUCCCCCAUUAACAUAUAGAGCGAGGGCAGGCGACUGACUGAUGGCGGCGGUGAUGACGGCCAUCCAGUGGUCCCCGGCUCUCUCCUCUCUCCUCUCUCCUCUCUGUUUCUUCUUGAUGAUCUUCUCUGGUGCUGGCGAUGCUCCCUCGCACUUUCUUUGCCUGUACGGGUUGACUGCUUCGUGUGGCGCUUGCGCGCGUCUGUCCACCACUCCUCCCCGCUAUGGAGAGCGAGAGGGCGAGCGAGGCAGUGGUGCAGGCGUAUCCUACACCCGCCCCUCCUCCACACAACGACAAAUACGGACAUACAAGGGGGUGGGGUUGGGGGAGGGCAGGCAGUCUUAUGGUCUUCCGCUCCUUUACGCGCUCGCUGUUUAACCGACAGACGCAGAGUAGAGUCGUCGCGCGCACACGCGGGCUCAGGAGGGAGAAAAAAACGAAGCUCACUAAAAGGCAGCACCAACGAGGGCAAGAGCAGGGGGUGGGCACGGCCACCCAGCCGGCGAGCACCUGUGGUGCAGUGGGGGCGAAGGCGAAGAGGGAGGCGGGAGCAUGAGAACGGGUCGGAGGGGAACAGCGACAGUGCUGAGCCACAACGCAACUAGGGAGGUGCGCUCCUCCUUGCUUCCUCCUUCUAGCCUUCCCCCCCUCUUACCCCUUCUCACGUGCGCGUGCGUGUACGCUGGACAGCUUCGUCGCACACGCUCCUCCCGCUCUCCCUGCGCCCGCCUUGACGUGAACGACUCGGCCUCGUGCCCUCCUCCCUCCUUUGUGUGCUCGCAUUCUUUUUGCAUAUCUCUGUCGACGCUUUCGGCUUUUUUGAUGGCCACCGCGACUUCUACGCAUCUCUCUCGCUCUUGCUCUUGUCGCCGAUGUACGGGCCUGCGCCCUGUUUUCAUGUAGACGCGCGCGUGGCAUCUCUCGCAUCGAUGAUGAGCAGCUAUGUGUGUCUGCUCAUCUCUUGACUGGCUUCACUUCUGGUGUGCGUGCUUGCGAAGGGCGACGGGGGGCAUGAGGGGCGAGCCUGGCAUCGGCCUGUCCUGCCUCGCCGGCCCGCAUUGCUCUCCUCACUGCCUCCAGUGGACAGAUGUUGUUCUGCAUCUGUGCGGGUGCGCGCGAGUAUACGUGUGUGUGUGUGUGUGGUGCUUCACCUGCAUGCCCAUCUAUAUAUCUCUCUAUAUACUCCUUCUGUUGUUCUUGUGCUCCCCUCUCUCGCGUGCUUCCACGCGCCCGUCGGCGAGGCUCCCCGCCGCCGCCAACACCGCCACCGCCUCUCCGCUCGACCCCUGUGCACUCAAAAACAGCUUAUGGCGCCCGUUGGCGGCAAGCGGUGGGGAGAUAACGCGUGUUGCACAGCGCGAAUGGGCGUGGAGUUGGGGGCUAGAACAGGCGCGCGCAGGCAGCAGCACACCCGCACAAGGAGGCACACAUGCGUAUGCACACGCGCGUGCGCACAAGUAGCGAUGUUGCUACGAGGCAGAUGCUGCCACACUGGGUCAGCAGUGGGAGCUAGAGAGCUACAGAAAGCGCGCGAGCAAGUGAGAGUGCGGCAGCAGCAGCCGCUUGGUGUGUCCGGAAAAGGGCACAUGCACCCCCCAUUCUUCAGGUGGCAGAGAGGGAGGGAGGCUGUAGCUAAUCAAAGGGAGCGCGAGGGGAAAAAAAGAAAAAAAACAGCUCGAGCCACCACCCCCUCCCCUUCCUCCCUCUCUCCCUCCCUCCCUCCCUCCCGCCUUCCCUCUCUGCACGCAUACUCGCCGGAGUCUGCUGUAGUGUUGUACUACGACUGAAUGCUUGCCUCUGUGUUUUGUGCGCGUUACGCGAAGGGGAAGCGGCGACGAAACCUGUAUAGAGUGCGUGAGUGUGUGUGUGUGUGGGGAGGGCUGAGGGCGCCUGCCCUGCCUAGCUCUUUCGGUGCCCCUCCGCUCUGCCCAAUUUCUCUCCUCUCUUUCCCUAGACUCGCCCAAGACGAACUCUCUAUCAUUUUUGUUGCUCUGUGGUGCUGUUGAGCUGCGGCUGACGUUUACGUAUUCCCCUUUAACGGUGUCUCAGACACACACACACACACACACACGCACUCACUUGGCGCCGACAAGCGUGUGCGUGUGUGUGUGCCGCAGGUCCGCUGCUCCUCCACAUCUUUUCUUUCUUUACCGUUUGGCCGAUGUGCUCGGUGUGCGGCGUCCGCGUGACACAUCUCUCUUCGAACACGCAAACAUUAGUGUUGCGGUCCUGUCCGCUGUGCUUCCCUCCAGUUGCGUCUGUCGCGCUGCUGCGCCUCUCCUCCCCUCCGUUUUUUGUUGGCAGGAUCGCUCACGCGUGCUUCUCGGUGCCUGGCUCUCUGUGCGCUUGUCCAAUCGAAGACGACGACCACACAGAGCAUCCAAGCACGCAAGGUGACGGAGCCGCCCCCGCCCUCCCCUCUCCUUCCCGUCCCUUCUCUUCCUAGCACACACCUGCACAGUCGCUUCGCCAACACAGUUGCGCAGGUGCACGCACGCAACGCCUGCCGAAGCACGAGCGCUUUUCUCCCUCGUCUCUCUUCCUGGACGCCUUUCGAGUGCUGUGUUUCGUGCGCCUCUGUGCCCUUCCUCCCCUCCCCCUCCUCCUCCUCUGCUCCCUUUUCUCCCUCCCUCCCAUGCGUCUCUGCAGAUUGUCGAUGCCGAGCAGCUCUCUGUGUCCCUCCCUCUGUCCGUCUUCCUUUAUCUGGCUGCUUUCUUGCGAAGACGCACACAUACACAACAACAACAAAGAGGAGGAGGGGAGGAGGAGGGCGCGAUACUCUUGACAUCCGUUUUACAGAUUUCCAAUGCCUGUGUCGCCCCGCGUGCCUCUUCUCUGGAGUGCUUCCCGUGCCGCUCGCCGCCCUUUUUCUGUCCAUCGGUGACGCAAACACACGGGGCCUCCUCUCUUCUCUUUUCUCUUGUUGCCGCCCUUUUAUUUUAAUCUUCACCGCCACAUCUGGCUAACUAAAGCAGGCAAGCACACACACACACACACACAUACACGAGCAAAUAAGGAUGUGCUUGUGCGUGUGUGCAUGGGCACGCGCGCUGUACGCGCGCGGAUGACCAUUUCUUGUUGGCCGACUCGUGAGCAGGCGGUCCCAACGCAAAACGGUCAGAGGGCAGGCAGGCAGGCAGACGCACCAGCACGCCAAGGCCAGCGUUGAUGCAUGCCCCUCUGCACGCUGUUUUUUUUUUGGUGCGCGUGCCUGCCUGCCUGCCCUCUGACCGUUUUGCGUUGGGACCGCCUGCUCACGAGUCGGCCAACAAGAAAUGUUUAUCACGCGCGCAUACAUACAGCGUGCUGAACCGUUUUAGGGUGCCCCCACACGCCCUCCCUAACCUAUGAAGGAACAGCAGACCACACGCAGAAAACGGCUUAUCAAACGCACAGCGCCUCUAGCGGGCGCUGUGCUGGUGUGCGUGCCGGCCGGCAGCAGCAACGACGCAACGGCGUUGGACGUUUCGCGUGCGCGUGCCCGCGCAGGCAAUGAAAGAGCCGCUGUUGAGCGUCAACCUUCGUCACUGGCGGUGCGUGUGCAUGUGUGUGUGCAGGAGGGCUUCAGCGACAGCGCGGCGCUCCUCAAUCAUGAGGGACAUGGCUGAG